rnacentral:rRNA from 1 species
GUGUCAGCAGCCGCGGUAAUACGAAGGGUGCGAGCGUUAUUCGGAAUCACUGGGCGUAAAGGGUGCGUAGACGGUUUGUUAAGUUUGUCGUUAAAGACUCCGGCCUAACUGGAGGGUCGCGAUGAAAACUGGCGAACUAGAGGGCGAGAGAGAGAAGUGGAAUUCCCGGAGUAGCGGUAAAAUGCGUGGAUCUCGGGAGGAACACCAAUGGCGAAGGCAGCUUCUUGGCUCAUUUCUGACGUUGAGGCACGAAAGCGUGGGUAGCGAACAGGAUUAGAUACCCUUGUAGUCC